UACAUGUGGGGCGAGCGUUGUUCGGAAUUACUGGGCAUAAAGGGUGCGUAGGCGGCGCCAUAAGUCAGGUGUGAAAUCUCGGGGCUCAACCUCGAAACUGCACUUGAUACUGUGGUGCUGGAGUACUGGAGAGGAGAUUGGAAUUUACGGUGUAGCAGUGAAAUGCGUAGAUAUCGGGAGGAACACCUGUGGCGAAAGCGGCUCACUGGACCACAACUGACGCUGAGGCGCGAAAGCUAGGGGAGCAAACAGG
rnacentral:rRNA from 1 species